rnacentral:rRNA from 1 species
UUGAACGCUGGCGGCAUGCCUUACACAUGCACGUCGCACGGUAACAGGUUAAGCUGACGAGUGGCGAACGGGUGAGUAAUACAUCGGAACGUGCCCAGUAGUGGGGGAUAGCCCGGCGAAAGCCGGAUUAAUACCGCAUACGACCUAAGGGUGAAAGGGGGGGAUCGCAAGACCUCUCGCUAUUGGAGCGGCCGAUGUCAGAUUAGCUAGUUGGUGGGGUAAAAGCUCACCAAGGCGACGAUCUGUAGCUGGUCUGAGAGGACGACCAGCCACACUGGGACUGAGACACGGCCCAGACUCCUACGGGAGGCAGCAGUGGGGAAUUUUGGACAAUGGGCGCAAGCCUGAUCCAGCCAUGCCGCGUGCGGGAAGAAGGCCUUCGGGUUGUAAACCGCUUUUGUCAGGGAAGAAAUCCUUUGGGUUAAUACCUCGGGGGGAUGACGGUACCUGAAGAAUAAGCACCGGCUAACUACGUG